rnacentral:lncRNA from 13 species
GAGCGGCUUCGUUCCCAUCCCGGCAGCGAUCCCAAUAAAACCCCGGCGUGCCGUGGCAGCAUUCCCUGCCAAUUCCCCGCGAGACGGGAAUUCGGGAAUUCAUCCCCCGCCCUCCGGCUCUGCGCUCGCCAGGCAGGGAACCCACCUCGCCGAGGGGAGGGAACCCACAGGUGGUUGUUUCACCCCCCAUGGUGGGAUUUGGGAUUGGGAUUUGGGAUUGGGAUUGGGAUCGCAAGCCCGGGAUGGACCAAGGGAUGCUCGGGAAGGGCGGCGCAGUUGGAGCCCCUGGGGAAGGCUGGGACAGCGGUUGGGCAGCUGGAAAUCCCUGGAUUUCUCUCUAGGGCAGGGUUAUCCCCACGUAUCCAAAAAAAUGGGGAUAAUUGAGGAGAUUCCAGGCAAAGCUGGAGCUGGCCAUGGCAGAGCCACAAGGUCACUCCAGGUCUGCAGGAUCCACGUGCUUUAGAUCCCCUAAUUCCGUGGGAAUUUGGGCUCUGGAAUGUUCAUGGCCUGUGGUAUCCAGCUGGUCCCUGCACAUCCCUUUCCUCCCUCUGGAUUCCCCUCUCUGUGUUCAUCCCCUGCCUUCCCCAUGAAGGAUCCACACUGGGAUCCUCCAAAACCCCAUCCCAGAUCCCCAUCCCUCCCAUUCCCCCCAAAAUCUGCCAGAUCACUCCAAUCCCAGCUGAGUGCAGGAUCCAAACCUCCAUCUUUGAGCCCUCGGUCCCAUUCCAGCUCUAAAUAUCCCAUUAAAAAUCCCACAAAGCCCAGAGCAGACGCCACAACCACUUUUCCAACCCCAUUUUUUGGGAUUGCGGCUCGGAGUUGCAGCAUCCCUAUUAAAUUAAAGGUAAUUAAAUCAAUUAAUGAGACCGUGAGGUUUGCAUGCCCAGAAUCCCGGGAUGCUCACAGGGAAAAAAGGGACAAUUUGGGGGAAAUUCUGGCAGAUCAGGAGCCAAACAUUUCCUGUCCUGGUGGCAGCCGGAUUUGGGAAUGAGCUCUGGCAUUCCUGGGGGCUGAUCCAGCAGCAUUCCCUGAGACUGGAGCCACAAUUCCUGAAACAGGGAGGAUUUGGAGAGGCUGGGAUUGGAACGGAUCCAUUGAGGUGGGAGAGACCCCAAAACAACAACCGGGAGCUGGGAGCGGGGAAGGGCUGGUGGGGCCGGCAUCCACCUCCCGGAUCCAGGAUCCACAUCCUCUCCCCACGUCCUUUUCCAUGUGUCCCUUCCCGAGGCCCAAACCCUAAAGAUGUCCUGGAGUCGCCAGGGGAUAAUGGGGUGGGAAUGGGGGAGAAAAAAGGGGAAAACGGGGUGGGAAUGGGGGAGAAAAAAGGGGAUAACGGGGUGGGAAUGGGGGAGAAAAAAGGGGAUAAUGGGUGGGAAUGGGGGAGACACAAGGGGAAAAUGGGGUGGGAAUGGGGGAGAAGCCUCUCCCUGACUCCCUUUUCCCAAUCCUGGAAUGGCUGGCUCCCAGUUUGGAGCUGGGAUGCAGCUCCCACAUAUCCCAGUUUGGAGCUGGGAUGCAGCUCCCACAUAUCCCAGUUUGGAGUUGGGAUGCAGCUCCCACAUAUCCCAGUUUGGAGUUGGGAUGCAGCUCCCACAGUUCCCAGUUUGGAGCUGGGAUGCAGCUCCCAUAGUUCCCAGUUUGGAGCUGGGAUGCAGCUCCCACAGUUCCCAGUUUGGAGCAGAGAUGCAGCUCCCACAUUUCCCAGUUUGGAGCAGGGAUGCAGCUCCCACAAUUCCCAGUUUGGAGUUGGGAUUCAGCUCGCACCUUCCCCAGUUUGGAGCUGGGAUUCAGCUCCCACAAUUCCCAUUUGGAGCUGGGAUGCAGCUCCCACAGUUCCCAGUUUGGAGCUGGGAUGCAGCUCCCACCUUCCCCAGUUUGGAGCUGGGAUGCAGUUCCCACCUUCCCCAGUUUGGAGCUGGGAUUCAGCGCCCACAGUUCCCAGUUUGGAGCUGGGAUGCAGCUCCCAUAGUUCCCAGUUUGGAGCUGGGAUGCAGUUCCCACCUUUCCCAGUUUGGAGCUGGGAUUCAGCUCCCAUAAUUCCCAGUUUGGAGCUGGGAUUCAGUUCCCACCUUCCCCAGUCUGGAGCUGGGAUUCAGCUCCCACAAUUCCCAGUUUGGAGCAUGGAUUCAGCUCCCACAGUUCCCAGUUUGGAGCACGGAUUCAUCUCCCACAUUUCCCAGUUUGGAGCUGGGAUUUAUCUCCCACAUUCCCCAGUUUGGAGCUGGGAUUCAGUUCCCACAUUCCCCAUUUUGGAGCUGGGAUUCAGCUCCCGCAGUUCCCAUUCCCGGGAUUUUUCCCCGUUCCCGGAUCACCGAGCUCCUCCUCUGCCUCUGCAAUCCGAAUAUUUCAGCAGAGAAGGAACAACACAAACACCCCAGGAGUUUUUGUCCCCCCCUCCUUCCCUUCCUCUCCCUCCCACCCUCUCCAUCAGCCCUUCUGUUGGAGAUGAAUCUUCAAAACUUCAAAAAAACCAAGAAAAAAAAUCCCAAACCCCGUCAUUUCCAUGGAUUCUGAAAGUGGAAACCGAGCGCGGGGAAGGGCGGAGGGAAGAAAAUAAAACCAGCUGACGGCAAAGUUUCAUUGUCCCCGGCGGGGAAUCGGGGAGGCUGCAGCAGGCGCUGAAGAGCCCUCGAGUCCUGGAGCACCUGCAGCCGGCACAGGCGGGAGGGAGGGAUGGGAUCAGUGGGAUGGGAUCAGUGGGAUGGGAUCGGUGGGAUGGAAUAGGAUCGGUGGGAUGGAAUAGGAUCAGUGGGAUGGGGUCAGUGGGAUGGGGUCAAUGGGAUGGGGUCAAUGGGAUAGGAUCAGUGGGAUGGGAUCAGUGGGAUGGGAUCAAUGGGAUGGGGUCAAUGGGAUAGGAUCAAUGGGAUGGGAUCAAUGGGAUGGGAUCAAUGGGCUGGGAUCAGUGGGAUGGGGUCAAUGGGAUGGGAUCUGUGGGAUGGGAUGGGAUGGGAUCAGUGGGAUAGGAUCAGUGGGAUGGGAUCAAUGGGAUGGGAUCUGUGGGAUGGGAUAGGAUCAGUGGGAUGGGAUCAGUGGGAUGGGAUGGGAUCAGUGGGAUGGGAUCAGUGGGAUGGGAUCAAUGGGAUGGGAUGAGUGGGAUGGGAUCAAUGGGAUGGGAUGGGGUCAGUGGAAUGGGAUCAGUGGGAUGGGAUCAAUGGGAUGGGAUCGGUGGGAUGGGAUCAGUGGGAUGGGAUGGGAUGGGAUGGGAUGGGAUGGGAUGGGAUGGGAUGGGAUGGGAUGGGACUGGAGGGAGAGUGGCUGAUGGGUCCCAGAGCACCGAAAAUCCUCACAGGGAUGGAUUUGGGAUAUUCCUGAAGACACACACGCUCACUUGGGGGUUCAGCUCCCACAAUUCCCAGUUUGGAGCUGGGAUUCAGCUCCCACAUAUCCCAGUUUGGAGUUGGGAUGCAGCUCCCACAGUUCCCAGUUUGGAGCUGGGAUUCAGCUCCCAUAGUUCCCAGUUUGGAGCAGGGAUGCAGCUCCCACAUUUCCCAGUUUGGAGCUGGGAUUCAACUCCCAUAGUUCCCAGUUUGGAGCUGGGAUUCAGCUCCCACAGUUCCCAGUUUGGAGCUGGGAUUCAGCUCCCACAGUGACCAGCUGGGUCACUUGUGGGUUUGGAAUGCAAAAAUCCCACAAAGUUUGGCCAAGCGGCCUCCAGGCUCCACCCUGGGGACCUCGGACCUGCAGUUCUGUGGGAUCACGGAACGAUUUGGGCUGCAAGGACCUGGGAGAUCCUCUCAUCCCAACCCCCGGCCCUGCGGGAUCAUCCCAUUGCAAGCCCCAUUUCCCACCUCAGGGCGAGUUAAUAAUGACGAGGAUAAAGAAUAAAUAAUGACAAGGAUAAAGAAUAAAUAAUGACGAGGAUAAAGAAUAAAUCAUAAAAAGAAUAAAGAAUAAACAAUACAGAGAACAAGGAGCGUUCCCAAACUCGACCACGGCUGCUGGGAAGGAGCCGACGAAGGGAAUGGAGGAGGAGCAGGAGGAGGAGGAGGAGGAGUUUCACGGCCACCAAACUGCCGCAAACGGGGGCUCUGUGCCCCCCCUGCCCCCCUUGUGCCCUUCCCGAGCACAUCCCACCAGGAAUUUCGGUGCUGACCCCCCCUCAGAGCUCCAGCACCCCCAAACCAAGGGCUGGUUUUGUGGGAUUCCAAAUUCCAAGUGGUGGGAAAACAGGGAUGCUGCUCCAGCGUGGGGACACGACCCCGGGGCCGGGGUGGCUGCCCUGUGCUGGGGACAUUAUCCCAACACUGGGGACAUUAUCCCAGCACUGGGAAUGAUCCCAGCACCGGGAACAGAGGAAAAUCUUGGAGAACUUGUCCCAAAGCACGGCCCCACCCUGCUUCCCACCUGCCCAGCACUGUUUCCCAAAUCCCAAAUCCCGCUCCUCUGCAUCCCUGAGCCUCUCCAAAGCAGCCUGGAGCUCCUCCUUCCCUCCCCAGCAUCCUUGGAAUGAAAAUCCCGACAGCAGGAGCCUCAGCGGGCUCGUCUGUAGCACAGCACCCCGGAGAAACCCGGGAUCAUGGGAUCAGCGAGGUUGGAAAAGCUCUCCAGGAUCACCAAGUCCAACCUGUGCCCGAUCCUUGUCACCAGCCCAGAGCCCUGAGUGCCACAUCCGGGAAUUCCUUGGGCACCUUCAGGGAUGGGGGGCUCCAUUCCAAGGCCUGACUGCCCUUUCCAUGAGGAAAUUCCUGCUCCUGUUCAGCCUGGACAUCCCCUGGCACAUCCUGAGGCCGUUCCCUCUCCUGCUGUCCCUUGGCAUCACACCCUGACCCUCCCUGGCUGUCCCCUCCUAUCAGGGACUUGGGGACAUCCAGACGGCCCCUCCUGAUAACGGAAACAUUCCCAGCUCCCUCAGCCUCUCCUCGAGCUCCAGACCCUUCUCCAGCUCAGGACCACUCCCACAUCCCGUCACCCCCCUCAGGCACCCGCCAGCCUGGCCCUGUCCCCUCCCCCGGCAGCCCCGGGCCACGCUCGCUGCCACGGGACGCGGCUGCCACGUGUCGCCGGUGUCCCCAGGGCGCAGAGGCGGCCACCGCGUGGCCCGGCGGGGAUCGAUGGCGACAAUCGAUGGCUAUAAUUAAACCCUGCCCUGAUGGGCUCUGUCCCUUCACCCCCACGGCAGCGCCCACGCGGGUCCCCGCCGGGGCCAAGGGCACCGCGCUGCCGUGGGAAGGGUGGGAACGGGGGAUUCUCGUGGAAAAGGAAGGCGAGGCCGGCCCGGGUGGCUGUGGGGACGGAGGGAUGGAGGGAAGGGGGCAAUGUGAGGGGGCGGAUGUGCCACCUUCACCAGGGUGUCCAUCUGGUCGGGUUCACGCCCCGGGUUCGCCCCCAGCCCAGCCCAGCAGGGAGGUGCCUUCAUCCCCCUUUUCCUAACGGGAAAUCACAUUUUGGGUGGAGAUCCGCGGUUUUGCUGAGUGGGGAACCAGGGCUGAGCCUGGCAGCGACACCCACACACCCUCCCAGUGCCCCACAGCUCCCAGGCAGUGCCAG